GCUGGGCAUGGUGGUGCAUGCCUGUAGUCCCAGCUACCGGGGAGGCUGAGACAGGAGAAUCAUUUGAACCCCGGAGGUGGAGGUUACAGUGAGCCGAGAUCGUGCCACUGCACUCCACCCCGAGUGACAAAAGGAGACCCUGUCUCAA
ensembl:misc_RNA Metazoa_SRP Metazoan signal recognition particle RNA